rnacentral:rRNA from 1 species
GACAGACGGCCCCAAGCGUUAGGCGGAAUCACUGGGCUUAAAGCGUGUGUAGGCGGACGCCUAAGUGUCUUGUGAAAUCCCACGGCUCACCCGUGGAACUGCUGGGCAUACUGGGCGUCUUGGGCCAACUAGGGGCAGCCGGAACAAGCGGUGGAGCGGUGAAAUGCGUAGAUAUCGCUUGGAACGCCGAAGGUGAAAACAGGCUGCUGGGGUUGUGCCGACGCUGGAGACACGAAAGCCAGGGGAGCAAACGGG